rnacentral:rRNA from 1 species
GACGUAGGAUGCGAGCGUUGUCCGGAAUUAUUGGGCGUAAAGCGUACGUAGGCGGUCCACUAAGUCUGGGGUUAAAGACCGAGGCUCAACCUCGGGGGUGCCCUGGAAACUGGUGGACUGGAGGACGGUAGAGGAAGGUGGAAUUCCCAGUGUAGCGGUGAAAUGCGUAGAUAUUGGGAGGAACACCGGUGGCGAAAGCGGCCUUCUGGGCCGUUCCUGACGCUGAGGUACGAAAGCCAGGGGAGCAAACGGG